CGGAGGCCUGAGAAGGUUAAACAGCUUUUGUUGUGCUGUUGUAACUGGUUAUAACCUCCAAAAGUAAUAAACAAACCACCCAGCCUUGUCUCUCUGUCCUAACACAGAGCAGAUUUG
rnacentral:snoRNA from 1 species